UGGGGAAUUUUGGACAAUGGGGGAAACCCUGAUCCAGCCAUCCCGCGUGUGCGAUGAAGGCCUUCGGGUUGUAAAGCACUUUUGGCAGGAAAGAAACGUCGCGGGUUAAUACCCCGCGAAACUGACGGUACCUGCAGAAUAAGCACCGGCUAACUACGUGCCAGCAGCCGCGGUAAUACGUAGGGUGCAAGCGUUAAUCGGAAUUACUGGGCGUAAAGCGUGCGCAGGCGGUUCGGAGAGAAAGAUGUGAAAUCCCAGAGCUUAACUUUGGAACUGCAUUUUUAACUACCGGGCUAGAGUGUGUCAGAGGGAGGUGGAAUUCCGCGUGUAGCAGUGAAAUGCGUAGAUAUGCGGAGGAACACCGAUGGCGAAGGCAGCCUCCUGGGAUAACACUGACGCUCAUGCACGAAAGCGUGGGGAGCAAACAGGAUUAGAUACCCUGGUAGUCCACGCCCUAAACGAUGUCAACUAGCUGUUGGGGCCUUCGGGCCUUGGUAGCGCAGCUAACGCGUGAAGUUGACCGCCUGGGGAGUACGGUCGCAAGAUUAAAACUCAAAUGAUUGACGGGGUCAUAGCUGUUUCCUG
rnacentral:rRNA from 1 species